rnacentral:rRNA from 1 species
CCUACGGGUGGCUGCAGUGGGGAAUAUUGGGCAAUGGGCGAAAGCCUGAUCCAGCCAUGCCGCGUGUGUGAAGAAGGCCUUCGGGUUGUAAAGCACUUUCAGUGGGGAAGAAAGCCUUGGGGCUAAUACCCUCGAGGAAGGACAUCACCCACAGAAGAAGCACCGGCUAACUCCGUGCCAGCAGCCGCGGUAAUACGGAGGGUGCGAGCGUUAAUCGGAAUUACUGGGCGUAAAGCGCGCGUAGGCGGUCUGAUAAGCCGGUUGUGAAAGCCCCGGGCUCAACCUGGGAACGGCAUCCGGAACUGUCAGGCUAGAGUGCAGGAGAGGAAGGCAGAAUUCCCGGUGUAGCGGUGAAAUGCGUAGAGAUCGGGAGGAAUACCCGUGGCGAAGGCGGCCUUCUGGACUGACACUGACGCUGAGGUGCGAAAGCGUGGGUAGCAAACAGGAUUAGAUACCCCAGUAGUC